rnacentral:rRNA from 1 species
ACUACGGGGGGCAGCAGUGAGGAAUAUUGGUCAAUGGGCGGAAGCCUGAACCAGCCAAGUAGCGUGCAGGAUGACGGCCCUACGGGUUGUAAACUGCUUUUAUACGGGAAUAACGCGCCUUACGUGUAGGGCUUUGCAUGUACCGUAUGAAUAAGGACCGGCUAAUUCCGUGCCAGCAGCCGCGGUAAUACGGAAGGUCCGGGCGUUAUCCGGAUUUAUUGGGGUUAAAGGGAGCGUAGGCCGCAUGUCAAGCGUGCUGUGAAAUGUCCGGGCUCAACCCGGGCCUUGCAGCGCGAACUGGCGUGCUUGAGUCCGCGGAAAGCAGGCGGAAGUCGUCGUGUAGCGGUGAAAUGCUUAGAUAUGACGAAGAACCCCGAUUGCGAAGGCAGCUUGCUGCAGCGGAACUGACGCUGAUGCUCGAAAGCGCGGGUAUCGAACAGGAUUAGAUACCCGAGUAGUC